UUCCCACUCCCAGAUUAAGAUUUUUGAAUACAACAGUAGCAAUUAUUUUGUCAAUUCUAAGGGCACACCCAGUCGGAGCUGACAUUGACAUCUAUCGUCCAGCACAAAUUUUCAGUCGGCAAUUCCAGCUACCUUGUCCUCCCUCCUCUUUCAUUCUGCAAUUUGUUUUCCUAAUUCCUAUAAAUUCAACACUACCUAUUCUAACCCACCAUCUUCAAUUCAUCAUCCAUAUGGCCACACCUACCACUUCUACCAAGCUCCUACUCUCUGACUUUGCAUCCACUGUUCAAAAUGUUCCCUCUAAUUAUAUCAGACCCAUCAAUGAGCGUCCAAAUCUCACACAAGUCCAAGUAUCAGAUGCUUCUUCUGUUCCUCUUAUCGACCUUGAUGGUCUUGACGGCCCCUGCCACUCUGAAAUCAUCGAACAGAUUGCUUUAGCAUGCCAACACGAGGGUUUCUUUCAGGUUUAUUCUUUAUUAUUUACAAUAAUCUUUUAACUUCACUAAUUCUUAAUCUAUGUAUAUAUAUACACCUGUCCCACUAGGUGAAGAACCACGGAAUUUCAGGGGAAAUGAUCAAUAACAUGUUAAACAUUGCAAGAAAAUUUUUCAAACUGCCAGAGAGUGAGAGGUUGAAGAGUUACUCUGAUGAUCCUUCUAAAACCACUAGACUCUCCACUAGUUUUAAUGUUAGGACCGAAAAGGUGGCCAACUGGAGAGAUUUCUUGAGACUUCAUUGUUACCCUCUUCAAGACUCAGUCUGGGAAACUGUUGACAAAUUUUCUUGCAAUGUUUAACAUGUUAUUAGGCUCUGUUUUCAUCAAUUGUCAUCUUGUGCAAAGUGAACAAUAACCAACACCCCGGAAGCCACAGGUAAUAAGUAAUUAGACUCUGUUUUCAUUAUAUUUUAAUUAUAAUCUAAGAAAAAUAUCGUUAAAGUCAAAUUAUUUGUUAUGUUACUGGCUGGUAUCUUUUUUAUAUUUUCGAGUUUAAUAUUUAAUCACUUCAACUUCUUUAUUUAUAAUUACUUACAACUAUUCAAAGUUUGCUGGGUAUGAAUAAUUCUGCUACAAAGUUACUUACAAAUUUCGAAAUAGAAGUUCAAUGGCUCGGUUGUUGAAUACAUAUACACAUGUUUCAAUUUUUACGGCCUUUGAAGAAGUUUCCGUUCUGCUUUCAGACUGAGGCUAAUUUGGUAAUCCCAAGGAUGCAAUGAAACAAGAAAACAGGUUAUUGGUAAUUGAUAUUCUAUAUACUUCUUUAAUGCUUCAUUUCAAAUGUUGUACUUUAUAUGUUGCAGGGGAGGGGAAGAUUCACUUCAAAUGGUUACAAAGUAACCUGUUUGAUCUCUGCUUUUAAUUUUCCAUGUAAACUCUCCCUUUUAUUAUUCUUUUAGAUCUCUGCUUUAAUUUUCCAUGCAAGCUCUCCCUUUUAUUAUUCUUUGAGAUCUCUGCUUUAAUUUAUAUGCAUUCUUUGAGAUAAGUCUUUGGAAAAUUUAAUUGUCAUCAGGAAACUAGCACCCUUAAUUUGAAUUAGGUGGAGAAAGGAAGUUUAAUGCUUUGUUUUCCAUCUUCUGGUCAGUUUUUUCACCUUUUCCGGUGAUGUAGUGGAGCAAGUUUAGCAAGCCAUGAUUUUCUUUUAGAAUCAAACUGAAAGGCUUCAGACUUCAUCUUCAGAAGAUUUAUACCAGGCAUAAAUAGAAAAGAAUAUCCAUCAUUUUUGCACCCCUUAAAGUGACAAAUUCAUGGUUAAUACUGAGAAUUUAUUGUUCAGCAACUCCAGAAUGCUGUGCCUUCGUGUUCACUGCCAGCUCCAGGAUGCAGUUUGUUCUCUGCACUUCUCUGCUGCAGAUUUUUCGAGCAAACAACUCCAGGUUAAACUGCCAGGUCGCUGGAGUUUUUUCCAGGAUUUCAAGUUUCUGCUCCACUUGCUUUGCUCUUGGAAUACAUCCCUGGAGUUUGCUGUGUUCGGAUUGUUUCAGCUCUAGCAUGUUGGUUCUGGCCCAGUUGCUGCGAUGAAGUCCGGAACUCCCUCUCAAGGUUUCCUUGCAGAAAAUUGUUCACGCUGUCCAGAUUUUCAGGAAAUGGUCCAUGUAAACAAUGCAAUGGUUAUCCAGCUAAUGGGUAACUUUUGGUAUUUAGUCCCCCACGAAAGGCCUACUCUUUCUCUUGUAAAGUUAAGUGUUUCCUAUA